AUCACACCAACCAGCAGAGGCUUCAACAUCACCAUAAGUCAGGUAACUCUGAAAAACCAAGGAGAGUACUGGUGUGGGCUCAAAGAAAACACAAAAUAUUCCGGAGAGAACAAGAAUUAUUCAGCUGCUCUCAAGAAAAUCCAGCUGCUGGUUGAAGAUAUCAAAUACUUUAGAAAAUCCCGGACCACCGGUCACAACGUCUCAUACCACUGCAACUACGCAGACUCCCCAGCUGUUGUCGACUCGUUCAUCUGUAAGGGAGACGAUCCACGCGUGUGUCAGACCACCGUGAACUCCUCAACGCCUGAGAACGGAAGGUUUUCAAUGAAAGACGAGAAAGAUCAGAGAAAUAUCACAGUAACCAUGAGAGAGCUGACAGUGAAAGACAGCGGGUCGUACUGGUGUGGAGCAGAAACCUCCGAGAGAGAAGGCGGGAAAAUCUUCUUCAACAGACUCUCUCUGACAGUCGGGCCUGCACAGUCAUCCUCCUCAGCCUCUCCUUUAAUCCUGACGACUGAACCUUCUGUGGGGAGUCACAGCGGCUCUCAGGCCCACAUCAGUGUGGUCAUCUGUGUCGUCCUGGUGCUGCUGCUGCUGCUGCUUGUGCCAGUUUCAACUCUCAUUUACAAACGAUGUUCAGCGUCAAAAACCUCAGCAGCACCGAAUAGAAACAGCACCAAGGAGAUGAGUGGACAACCCAUAAUUCUGCAUACAGACCUCAUAAAGUACACAAUCCACACAAAUUCUGUUCCAAGUAAAUUUCAGACAACUUCUUUCCUUCUGUAA
rnacentral:lncRNA from 1 species